CAGCCGCCGCGGGAAUACAGAGGGUGCGAGCGUUAAUCGGAUUUACUGGGCGUAAAGCGUGCGUAGGCGGCUUUUUAAGUCGGAUGUGAAAUCCCUGAGCUUAACUUAGGAAUUGCAUUCGAUACUGGGAAGCUAGAGUAUGGGAGAGGAUGGUAGAAUUCCAGGUGUAGCGGUGAAAUGCGUAGAGAUCUGGAGGAAUACCGAUGGCGAAGGCAGCCAUCUGGCCUAAUACUGACGCUGAGGUACGAAAGCAUGGGGAGCAAACAGGAUUAGAUACCCCGGUAGUCCCUGUCUCUUAUAA
rnacentral:rRNA from 1 species